rnacentral:rRNA from 1 species
CAUGUUUGUUUGGAGUUAUAAAGAAUUUAACCUGCCCCCUGAUUAACUAUUAAUUAAAGGGCCGCAGUAUUAUAACUGUGCAAAGGUAGCAUAAUCAUUAGGUUUUUAAUUGAAAUCUCGUAUGAAUGGUUGGACAAAAGAAAGACUCUCUUUAUAUUAAGUUUUGAAUUUAACUUUUAAGUGAAAAGGCUUAAAUAUUCUAAAGGGACGAUAAGACCCUAUAAAACUUUACAUUGUUAUUAAUUUUGAUUGAAUUUAUGAAAUAAAAAUUUUAUUUGAUUAUUUGUUAUGUUGGGGAGACAUAAGUAAAAUAUUUUUUUAACUGCUUGAUAGUUAUACAAUUAUUAGUGAAUAAGUAGAAGAUCCUUUUUAAGAUUAGUAGAUUAAGUUACUUUAGGGAUAACAGUGUAAUUUCUUUUGAGAGUUCUUAUCGAAAAAGAAGGUUGCAACCUCGAUGUUGAAUUAAAAUAUCUAUAUAAUGGAGAGGUUAUAUAAGAAGGUCUGUUCGACCUUGAAAAUUUUACAUGAUUUGAGUUCAAACCGGUGUGAGCCAG